GGAUGGGACAAGAUGGAAAGGGGGCACUCGGUAUUGUCAUGUACUGUAAUAUUGGAGUCUGCAGCCCAUAAUUUGCGGCAAGGUUGAUGCCAACCAUAACAUAUCGCAGCCGGCCAAUUGGAUCAGCUGAGGCACUCGUAUGGAAAUACCUCACGCUCCAUGAUAUAUUACAUAACGAGUCCCUUGUGGCUGGAACCAUCCUAUUCGAUGUUACAUUGGUUGGUUUUGAAGACCAGCAAGAGGGUUGGUAUUAUAUUUCCUGAAUGGAAACACCUAAAAAUAUACUGGCACGUGAUAUGGAAGAGUGGG
rnacentral:sRNA from 1 species